UUUUUUUUAUCAGAGUUGCAGCAUAAAGGCUAUGCACAGAGGAGAUUUUCAAUGUUUCUGUUUUUGUUUGGUUUUACAUCCACCACAAUUAUCCUACUGUUCUCUGGGAGAGCUGGAGUGAAUACUUUUCCUGGUGCACAGUGAUUGCAUCUGCACAAUGAGAACCCAGCUCAUUCGCCACUGUGGCUCCACCUCCCCCCCCCUUCAUCCCCCCCAAGGCCAGUCGCCCAUGCUUUUAUCAUGGGUAUUCGCAAGCCCAAAAACUGCACGGAG